AUUGAACGCUGGCGGCAGGCCUAACACAUGCAAGUCGAAAGGAGUGGCGGACGGGUGAGUAAUGCCUAGGAAUCUGCCUGGUAGGGGGGGAUAACGUCAGGAAACGGGCGCUAAUACCGCAUACUAUCAGAUGAGCCUAGGUCGGAUGAGCUAGUUGGUGGGGUAAAGGCCUACCAAGGCGACGAUCCGUAACUGUUCUGAGAGGAUGAUCAGUCCCACUGGAACUGAGAACCGGUCCAGGCUCACACGGGACGCAGCAGUGGGGAAUAUUGGACAAUGGGCGAAAGCCUGAUCCAGCCAUGCCGCGUGUGUGAAGAAGGUCUUCGGAUUGUAAAGUAAUUUAAGUUGGGAGGCGUUACCAACAGAAUAAGCACCUGCUAACUUCGUGCCAGCAGCCGCGGUAAUAC
rnacentral:rRNA from 1 species